CUUUGUGCUGACUCAUGCUGAGUUAGUUACUGUGAAGUGCAGAACAGAGGGAGUUAAAUGAAAAGCAACCGGUGGUUUGCAGGCAUUGAGAUCCCGCACAAAUAGGGAGCAGCAAGAUUUUUGAAGUCUUGGAAACUGCAUCUUCUUUCUGAAGGAAGGAUGACAACUCUGAGGAAAGUUAUCAAAACUGUACUCAGCAUUGAGCAGGCGGAAGGGGUUGGGGCACGUGUUCGGAGGAGCAUUGGCCGGCCUGAGUUAAAAAAUUUGGAUCCUUUUUUGUUGCUUGAUGAAUUCAGAGGAGGAAAACCAGCUGGCUUUCCAGACCAUCCCCAUCGGGGCUUUGAAACGGUAACUUACCUGUUAGAUGGUGGCUCUAUGGCCCAUGAAGACUUUUGUGGACAUGCUGGACAAUUGAACCCAGGAGAUUUACAGUGGAUGACAGCUGGGCGGGGUAUUCUUCAUGCAGAGAUGCUCUGCUCAGAGGAGCCGGCACAUGCUCUGCAACUCUGGGUGAAUUUGAGAAGUUCAGAGAAAAUGGUAGAACCCCAAUAUCAAGAACUGAAAAGCAAAGAUGUCCCCAAGCCUUCCAAGAAUGGUGUGACUAUAUCUGUUAUUUCAGGAGAGGCAUUGGGAGUAAAGUCCAAGGUAUAUACUCGCACACCAACAUUAUAUCUGGAUUUCAAGCUGGACAAAGGAGCUAAGCACAUUCAGCCAGUUCCAAAAGGAUGGACAUCUUUUAUUUACACACUGUCUGGCAAUUUGUAUGUUGGCACUGAUGAUACCCAACAAAAAAUAGAACCCCACUACACAGCUGUGUUGGAUGAUGGCGACUCUGUUCAGUUAGAAAACAAGUUCUCCUCCCUGAAUCUUCCUGUUGGGAUGUGUGGGACCUGCACUGCCUCCUGUUCUGGGCUAGGCUUUAGUGCAUAAACUGGACUUAUGUGGACACUGAACACUGAAUUCAUGGUUAUCAUCAUUCUGAUGUGCUAUCGAUGAACAGAUAUCAAAGGCCCUGAUUCGGAAACACUCUUGGUGCUGAUAGAUCCUUGUGUGCUGCCACAUCACCUCAUUUCUCUCCCUGCAUUCAGGAUCAGGGCCUAAAUUAGUUGUUUGAUUAUAUUAAUUAUAUAUAUAAUUUCUGGUUGCAAUCGCCAUGAUAUUAACAGCAAUUUUUUUUUACUAAAACCAUCUUUCAAAAGUUUAAUAAUGUGUGUCUGUCUGUUCACUGAUAAACCUAAAAUCAGCAUUUAAUUGUUGUCAUAAUUAUCUUAUUAAAUCUAAAUUAGGUCCUUAUUUGAGACACUUGAGAUAAUCAACCCAACUUUUCUUUUUUCCUUGUAAUUGUAAGUAGAACAAAAGAUCUUCUGUGUGUGGAUUAGUUAUAAGGAAUGUGCAGAUCCCCUCAUAGGAUCAACUUACAAAUACUUGCUUAAUGAUUUUAGCUGGGAAUUAUGUUAGCUUCUUGAAGUUUACUAACCACAAAAACUUGAAUUGGUGCAGAAUCCUGUAACUAAUGGUUUCAAAUGCAAAAAAUGUGAUGAAGUCAUAUGUUAUUUUGAGGUCAAGGUUAAUUAACUGCUUUUAUUGAGCUCAUAUUUUAUUGUUGCAGCCUGAAACUACCAGUUUAAUUGGUGAUAAUCUAGGGCCUGAUUCCACAAAUCCUUUUUCAUGGUCCUGAAAUAAGCCAUUUUGUCUUAGUCGCUGGUGAGCCGAUUAAGGAAUCCGUG